CAAAGUCGUUGAAGACAGGAACUGUCUUUUUUAUCUGUAUGUCUCCUCAGACUUGCCAGGCAUUCGCCACAUGGGUUUAUCCAAUCACGAACUGAAGUUAAGUGGAUAAUUCCUGGACGCCUAGAGAGGGAAAGAAACUUUGGAGACUAAGGAGAACAUUGCGUCCAUCCUGUUGAGAAGGGAAUUGAGACCCACAAAGGUGAAGUAAUUGGCUCAGAGUUAAACAGCCUGACAACAGAAGAGACAAGCACCGCAUCUUCCGGUCUAAAAUCCCUCUCGAGGGUUCAGGAUACAGGAAAAGUAGUUAUGCCUGAAGAUAAGUUGCUGACUUCGCUUCUACUUCAGUCACCCCUUUCUGAUCUUCCCAAGAAGAAAUAAAGAAUGAACAUUAAGGACAAUUAUGAAGCAAUACCCACAAUAAAACAAGAAUGAGAUCAUUUUAUUAUUCAAGGUACUAUAUUUGGAAAUUGAAUAAUGCCUUUUUUUUUCCAGUCUAACCACUCUGGAUGUUAUUUCAAUCCAAUUAUUUUGUUGGAAGAAGUUUUUAGAUUAUUUUAACUCUGGCUAAUGAAUACAUCCCAUUGAUAUUAAAAAGAACUGAGUUGGGCACUGACUUUGAGGGCCCAGAAGUGAAUUAUUGUCUUAGAACUGACUUCAUCUGAAAUUCACUUACUAUCAAAUGGGCAACCCAGCAUAGAAUUCACACUAAAAUUCCUAAUGAUGACACAAUCAUUCUUUAUAAAUAAAUAAACCUGGAG
rnacentral:lncRNA from 10 species